CCCUGGUUAGCUCAGUUGGUAUAGAGCGCUCCACUUGAAAUGGAGGUCCCGGGUUCGAUACUCGGACCAGGCG